rnacentral:rRNA from 1 species
AGAGUUUGAUCAUGGCUCAGAUUGAACGCUGGCGGAAUGCUUUACACAUGCAAGUCGAACGGCAGCAUAGGUGCUUGCACCUGAUGGCGAGUGGCGAACGGGUGAGUAAUACAUCGGAACGUGCCCAGUCGUGGGGGAUAACGUAGCGAAAGUUACGCUAAUACCGCAUACGAUCUACGGAUGAAAGCGGGGGACCGUAAGGCCUCGCGCGAUUGGAGCGGCCGAUGCCUGAUUAGCUAGUUGGUGGGGUAAAAGCCCACCAAGGCGACGAUCAGUAGCUGGUCUGAGAGGACGAUCAGCCACACUGGGACUGAGACACGGCCCAGACUCCUACGGGAGGCAGCAGUGGGGAAUUUUGGACAAUGGGGGCAACCCUGAUCCAGCAAUGCCGCGUGAGUGAAGAAGGCCUUCGGGUUGUAAAGCUCUUUUGUCAGGGAAGAAACACCGGCUCUAACACAGUCCGGGAAUGACGGUACCUGAAGAAUAAGCACCGGCUAACUACGUGCCAGCAGCCGCGGUAAU